CUUUCUCUCUCUCUCUCUCUCUCUCUCUUCAUCACUCUCUCUGCCCGCUCUUUCUCUCUCCAUCUCUCUCCUUGCACGCAGCUUGUUUUCAUCUGUGCUUCUUCAAGUAAAUCAGAGCGUAGACCUCGAGGUCUGGGGCAUCAGUGAACUAGGUUCAGUUGUUGGUGUUUGUGUCUUCCUGAGAGGGACAUUUUGCACAUGCUUGCUCUCAGUGGGGCUGAAGAGAGUCUAUUUAACACUGAACUGGUUACAAAGACAGAGCGAAAGAGAGAGAGAGAGAGAGAGAGAGAAAGAAAAACAGAUGAAGAGGAGGAAAACAAGAGCGAGAGAUGGUCGGGCGAGGAGUAAGAGAGACCAUAUUUAACUCUACAUGGGACGUAAAGAAAGAGAGAGGAGAGAUAGAAGACGGAGAAAAAGAAGAAAAAGAAGAAAAAGAA